rnacentral:rRNA from 1 species
AUUGAACGCUGGCGGCAGGCCUAACACAUGCAAGUCGAGCGGAUGAGAGGAGCUUGCUCCUUGAUUUAGCGGCGGACGGGUGAGUAAUGCCUAGGAAUCUGCCUGGUGGUGGGGGAUAACGUUCCGAAAGGAACGCUAAUACCGCAUACGUCCUACGGGAGAAAGCGGGGGAUCUUCGGACCUCGCGCCAUUAGAUGAGCCUAGGUCGGAUUAGCUAGUUGGUGAGGUAAUGGCUCACCAAGGCGACGAUCCGUAACUGGUCUGAGAGGAUGAUCAGUCACACUGGAACUGAGACACGGUCCAGACUCCUACGGGAGGCAGCAGUGGGGAAUAUUGGACAAUGGGCGAAAGCCUGAUCCAGCCAUGCCGCGUGUGUGAAGAAGGUCUUCGGAUUGUAAAGCACUUUAAGUUGGGAGGAAGGGUAUUCACCUAAUACGUGAGUAUUUUGACGUUACCGACAGAAUAAGCACCGGCUAACUUCGUGCCAGCAGCCGCAGUAAAAC